UACGAGGGGUGCAAGCGUUAUUCGGAAUGACUGGGCGUAAAGGGUGCGUAGACGGCACGUUAAGUCUUUUGUUAAAUACCUCAGCCUAACUGGGGAUCAGCAGGAGAAACUGGCGAGCUUGAGAUUGGAAGAGAGAAGUGGAAUUCUCGGAGUAGCGGUAAAAUGCGUAGAUCUCGAGAGGAACACCAAUGGCGAAGGCAGCUUCUUGGUCCAAUUCUGACGUUGAGGCACGAAAGCGUGGGGAGCAAACAGG
rnacentral:rRNA from 1 species